UCCGACCACGAGCAGAGCAGCCAGAG
rnacentral:rasiRNA from 1 species